rnacentral:rRNA from 1 species
CCUACGGGUGGCUGCAGUGGGGAAUAUUGGACAAUGGGGGCAACCCUGAUCCAGCCAUGCCGCGUGUGUGAAGAAGGCCCUCGGGUUGUAAAGCACUUUCAGUGAGGAAGAACGCCUGGUGGUUAAUACCCAUCAGGAAAGACAUCACUCACAGAAGAAGCACCGGCUAACUCCGUGCCAGCAGCCGCAGUAAUACGGAGGGUGCGAGCGUUAAUCGGAAUUACUGGGCGUAAAGCGCGCGUAGGUGGCUUGAUAAGCCGGUUGUGAAAGCCCCGGGCUCAACCUGGGAACGGCAUCCGGAACUGUCAAGCUAGAGUGCAGGAGAGGAAGGUAGAAUUCCCGGUGUAGCGGUGAAAUGCGUAGAGAUCGGGAGGAAUACCAGUGGCGAAGGCGGCCUUCUGGACUGACACUGACACUGAGGUGCGAAAGCGUGGGUAGCAAACAGGAUUAGAUACCCGAGUAGUC